rnacentral:rRNA from 1 species
AUUGAACGCUGGCGACAGGCCUAACACAUGCAAGUCGAGCGCGAAAGUCUUCGGAUGAGUAAAGCGGCGAACGGGUGAGUAAUGCAUGGGAAUCUGCCUGGUAGUGGGGGACAACGUCUCGAAAGGGACGCUAAUACCGCAUACGCCCUACGGGGGAAAGGGGGGGAGUCUUCGGACCUCUCGCUAUCAGAUGAGCCCAUGUCAGAUUAGCUAGUUGGUGAGGUAAAGGCUCACCAAGGCGACGAUCUGUAACUGGUCUGAGAGGAUGAUCAGUCACACUGGAACUGAGACACGGUCCAGACUCCUACGGGAGGCAGCAGUGGGGAAUAUUGGACAAUGGGGGGCGAACCCCUGAUCCAGCCAUGCCGCGUGUGUGAAGAA